rnacentral:rRNA from 1 species
GGCCUAACACAUGCAAGUCGAGCGGCAGCGGGAAAGUAGCUUGCUACUUUUGCCGGCGAGCGGCGGACGGGUGAGUAAUGCCUGGGAAAUUGCCCAGUCGAGGGGGAUAACAGUUGGAAACGACUGCUAAUACCGCAUACGCCCUACGGGGGAAAGCGGGGGACCUUCGGGCCUCGCGCGAUUGGAGCGGCCGAUGGCAGAUUAGGUAGUUGGUGGGGUAAAGGCCUACCAAGCCUGCGAUCUGUAGCUGGUCUGAGAGGACGACCAGCCACACUGGGACUGAGACACGGCCCAGACUCCUACGGGAGGCAGCAGUGGGGAAUUUUGGACAAUGGGCGCAAGCCUGAUCCAGCCAUUCCGCGUGCAGGAUGAAGGCCCUCGGGUUGUAAACUGC